rnacentral:tRNA from 1 species
GGAGAUGUAGCUCAUUGGUAGAGUGCUUGCCUAGUAUGCAAAAGGCUCUGGAGUUGAUCUCCAGCACCA